rnacentral:lncRNA from 1 species
AGACUAGGUUGGAUUGUGAUGAACAGCGACCUCUAGCGCAUGGCUUGGGAUUUGCAUGUGGCUAAAAGCCAGAAUGAAAAUCGCCGCAGAGAUGGGAAUUCUUAGGAAAUUCCCCACAAACAAAGGCGAGGAACAUCUCAUCCGGGAGGAGCAUCCAUCCCAGAGGAGUAUCUCAUCCGGGAGGAGCAUCCAUCCCAGAGGAGUAUCUCAUCCGGGAGGAGCAUCUGUCCCAGAGGAGUAUCUCAUCCAGGAGGAGCAUCUGUCCCAGAGGAGCACUCAGUGA